AUGCUGCCUAAUGAGGACGUUGCCAUUCCGGCAACCAAGGAUGUAGGUUGGUACCGACGGUACUCUCUGAUAGGUGCCCAAGCUAGAGGUUGCGCGACGGAUGACAGCAGUGAGUUCACGGGGCUGAGGCAAUAUCGGGAUGAAGUGCGGGGUGUUCUGACCUUUGUUGAUGUAGAAGCCAAGAAGGCGGGGCGGGUGGAUCUCACGAAAUCGAUGGAGGAAGGCGCGGUCGGAGGCAUGGGCGAGCCAACGUGUGCAUACGAGGGCGGAGUUGAGAAGGGUGGUGGUGAAGACGGUGCGGAGGAGGAUCUCACUGAGGAGGUCGUCGUCCUCGAGCACCUUGGAUAUCGCCGCCAUUGA
rnacentral:rRNA from 1 species